AUCCUUUUGUAGUUCAUAAGCAUGAUGAUUGAGUUUUCAUGCACAUGUGAGAGAUGUGCCUCCCCAAAAUCUUGUUAUGACGUUAGCACAUUACCCGUCUGAUG